UCCGAAUUGGUGUAGUGGCCAACAUUUGACGCUCUCAUAAAAGCUUUCACACCUUAAUCAGUGCCGUCAAGCCCGGGGUUCGAUUCCCCGAUUCGGAG